UCGACCUGAGCUCAAGCAAGACCACCCGCUGAACUUAAGCAUAUCAAUAAGCGGAGGAAAAGAAACUAACAAGGAUUCCCUUAGUAAUGGCGAAUGAAACGGGAAUAGCCCAACUUGAAAAUCUCCCUUUGGAGAAUUGUAGUCUAGAGAAGCGCCCUCUGCGGCGGCCGGAGCCUAAGUCCGUUGGAAAACGGCGUCAGAGAGGUGAGAACCCCGUCGGCUCUAGGCUUA
rnacentral:rRNA from 1 species